rnacentral:rRNA from 1 species
CGGCGCGUUUUAAGCAUGCAAGUCGAGCGGCAAGGGCCUUCGGGCCCCUAGAGCGGCGGACGGGUGAGUAACACGUGGACAAUCUGCCCCCCGGCCCGGGAUAGCCCAGGGAAACCUGGAUUAAUACCGGAUGAGACGGGACCCGCGAUGGCGGGACCCGGGAAAGGCGCUGCGGCGCCGCCGGGGGAUGAGUCUGCGUCCCAUUAGCUAGACGGCGGGGUAACGGCCCACCGUGGCGACGAUGGGUAGCCGGCCUGAGAGGGUGGACGGCCACAUUGGAACUGAGACACGGUCCAGACUCCUACGGGAGGCAGCAGCUAAGAAUCUUCCGCAAUGGGCGAAAGCCUGACGGAAGCGACGCCGCGUGAACGAAGAAGGCCGUGAGGUUGUAAAGUUCUUUUCGGGAGGGGGAACAACCGUGGCAGGGAAUGGCCGCGGGAUGACGUGAAUCCCGGAAUAAGCCCCGGCUAACUACGUGCCAGCCGCGGC